rnacentral:pre_miRNA from 1 species
UGGAUAGAUUAUUGUAUUCGACUGUAUUCACGGCAUGAAACAGGGGAUUACACUGUUUUUAAACGGAAAGUGAAUCAGUUAACAUAAUAGACUCCU